rnacentral:lncRNA from 1 species
ACUGCAGCUGAGGCAGGCUCUGAAGGAGCUGAUAGCUUUAGAUUGUUUGCUAACUGCACUACCUGAAGUUGUACAGGAAGUCUUUCCUUGAAGACUGAGAGAUGCUUCUCCAAGAUUUUAUUAGAUAAAGGAUGUUAUGUCAAGAGAACUCCUAAGAUCUUGUUUGCAUCUGUGAAAUUCUGAACAAUUGAUAAGAUAAUAUUUCCAGAAGACAUCAAUGACAAUUUAGCUAAGAGAGGAAAGGCCAUGUAAGAACACAGCAAGAAAAUGGUCAAACUAGCAAGAGAGGCCUCACCAGAUACCAACACUGACAGCACUUUGAUCUUGGACUUCUAACCUCCAGAGCUAUUUUGGGCUGGGGCAUCAGCUUCUUCCUGCCUUCCAACUCCAACUGUGGCAUCAGCUCUUCUUGAAUCUCAAGACUGCCAGCCUUCAAACUGAAACUAUACAUUGACUCUCUUGGUUCUCAGGCCUUUGGACUCAGACUGGAACUGUAACUUGGCUUUCCUGGGUCUGCAGUUGAGCUUGCCAACCCAACCUAAAGGUACUGAAACUUCCCAAGCUCCAUAAUUGUGUAAGCCAAUUCCUCAUAAUAAAUAUCUUCCUUGCUCUCUCUCUGUAUAUAUACACACACAUUUUAUCAGUUCUGUUUCUCUGGAAA